rnacentral:rRNA from 1 species
GCCUUGGUGCUCACGUUAAUUGGGAUCCACACGUAUACAUCUCGAACUACGAAGUGAAAACGAUUAAGAGUUUAAAGAACUGAAUGAACGCUUGUUCGGAAGCUUAAACUUAGUGCCAGGGA